GACAGAGGAGCCAAGCGUUGUCCGGACUGACUGGGCGUAAAGCGCACGCAGGCGGCACUGUGCGUGGGGUGUGAAAGCUCUUGGCUUAACUGAGAGAGGCCAUCCCAUACGGCAGAGCUGGAGCGGUGCAGAGGUCCGCGGAAUUGCCGGUGUAGUGGUGAAAUGCGUAGAGAUCGGCAGGAACACCCAGGGGGAAACCAGCGGACUGGGCAUCAGCUGACGCUCAGGUGCGACAGCGUAGGGAGCGAACCGG
rnacentral:rRNA from 1 species